rfam:Triticum aestivum genome assembly, contig: Triticum_aestivum_CS42_TGACv1_scaffold_361833_4DS
UGUGCCUCUUGAAUAACCAUCUGCUGCUAUUAGUAUAUCUGCAUUUGGUUCAGACAGGGGGCACAUAACAAAUGUAAUCUUUUGAGGGAAUGGAUGUGUUUUCUGUUCAUCCCUUCUUAGAAUGAUUUUAACAUUAAUUGGUUAUUGCGUACAAAU